rnacentral:rRNA from 1 species
UGGGGAAUAUUGGACAAUGGGGGCAACCCUGAUCCAGCAAUGCCGCGUGUGUGAAGAAGGCCUGCGGGUUGUAAAGCACUUUCAGUAGAGAAGAAAAGCCUAAGGUUAAUAACCUUGAGUCUUGACGUAACCUACAGAAGAAGCACCGGCUAACUCCGUGCCAGCAGCCGCGGUAAUACGGAGGGUGCAAGCGUUAAUCGGAAUUACUGGGCGUAAAGCGCACGUAGGUGGUUUUGUAAGUCGGAUGUGAAAGCCCUGGGCUCAACCUGGGAAUUGCAUUCGAUACUGCUUAACUAGAGUAUGGUAGAGGGAAGUGGAAUUUCCGGUGUAGCGGUGAAAUGCGUAGAUAUCGGAAGGAACACCAGUGGCGAAGGCGGCUUUCUGGCCCAUAACUGACGCUGAGGUGCGAAAGCAUGGGGAGCAAACAGGAUUAGAUACCCCCGUAGUCCCUGAGCGGGCUGGCAAGGCGCAU